CUGAAAGAGUUCUAAAAGCCAGGCAGAAGACAGGAGGGCAUGGGGGGGUUGGGGGAGUCCCGGAAGCUUGACAGUAAGGAUAAAGGCAUCACGGAGGAGGAGGUAUAACCUUUCGUCUGCCUCCUGUCUGGUGAAGACACUUGCAUGCUCCUUACCUGUCCUUGUAAGGUGUCAACCAGGGAACUCCACGCCCAGCCUCGACGUGGCAAUAUGGCCUUGCUUCUGCGUGAUGUCUGCAGAGCUGAACUCCGUACUCUCACCUUCCUUUUCAACUAACCUGCUACCCGACCUUGUCAGUUCAUUCACAUUAGGGAACAAAGCAUCUGUACUUUAAGACUGAUUUAUGAAUAUAUCCUGCCACAAACCAACGUAGCAUCCAGCCCGCUCCGUUCCAUGCCCGAUUCAAACACGGCGUCUGCCAGGAGCCCUCGGCUGAGAUGAGUUUGCGGUUUUGUUGUUUUGUUUUGCUUUGUUUUAAAAUACAGUAUGAAACGAUUUUACGUGAAAUUCCCAGGAAUAUAAUUUGGGGCGAAGACAAUCGAAUGCUUAAUGAACUCUCUUCCCGAGCCUGCUAUUUGUAUCCCCGGUGGCAUUCUCGGCUUUCAUGUCCUCGCACGGCGGAGGAGGAGCCAGGCCUGUGCUCGGCCCCUGGAGGAAAGCGGCCUGCGGAGGUGUGCAGUCCGGUGCUGGCCCUUCCCCCGCCACCCGGAGGCUCUUCAGGGGGGGCCCGGGGGACACACCCCGAGACAUCCCGAGCUGCUCUCCUCUUUCGGGGGAAGGACUUCCACCUCCUUGGCAGGUUGCUAAUAAACAUUCACAGCAGGAAGGGGGCCCUAUCUGGAGCCUGGAAGCUCAUUUAUAAGAAACUCUCAUGAAGUCAUCAGGGUCAAAGUUGACCUUCCUGUUAUUAAACUUGGCUGAGAAUGUG